AUGCACCUGCUUCGGCACGGUUUCAUGCGAAGCUAUAAUUGUUGGACCAAGCAUGGAGAAAGAGGGGUUAGAAUGGAAGAAGAUGAAGAAGGGGAUGAUAUCGAUGACAACUAUCAUGAUCAUUUCGGUGAUACUUUCAUGGAGGAUGAUGCUGAAGGUGGGGAAGGGUUAGGUGAAGGUGAAGAAGAGGCACAUGAUGAGCCCGCUGAUGAUCUUGGUCGGACCAUUGCUGAUGCACGGAGACGCUGCGAAACUGACAAGGAUAGGGAGAAUUUGGAUCGCAUGUUAGAGGAUCACAAAAAGUCGUUGUAUCCAGGAUGCGAUAAUAGUCUGAAAAAGCUGGGCUGCACA
rnacentral:rRNA from 1 species